GAUGAUAGAUGGAUCAACACAGCGUGGCCCAUCCACACAGUGGAAUAUUACUGAACCACGAAAAGGAAGGGAAUCCGGACAUGGGCUUCAGCGUGGAUGCACCUUGAGGACAUCAUGCUCAGUGAGAGAUGCCAGAGACACAGAAGGACACACCCCGCAUGGUUCCACUCCUAGGAGGUCCAUAGAGCUGUCAGAUUCAGGGAGACAAAAGGAAAAAAUAACUGAAGGAAGGCUGCAGAGGUCCCACA
rnacentral:lncRNA from 10 species